rnacentral:rRNA from 1 species
AUGAGGGCGUGUGGGCUUAACAUCCCUGCGAACCCUAACCCUUUGUUUACUGCCCCCUUGUGGUUUACUUGGGCGCGGUUUUUCAGGCUAAAUUGCAACAUUUUUGGUCUG